rnacentral:rRNA from 1 species
AGUGAACGCUGGCGGUAGGCCUAACACAUGCAAGUCGAACGGCAGCACAGGAGAGCUUGCUCUCUGGGUGGCGAGUGGCGGACGGGUGAGGAAUACAUCGGAAUCUACUUUUUCGUGGGGGAUAACGUAGGGAAACUUACGCUAAUACCGCAUACGACCUACGGGUGAAAGCAGGGGAUCUUCGGACCUUGCGCGAUUGAAUGAGCCGAUGUCGGAUUAGCUAGUUGGCGGGGUAAAGGCCCACCAAGGCGACGAUCCGUAGCUGGUCUGAGAGGAUGAUCAGCCACACUGGAACUGAGACACGGUCCAGACUCCUACGGGAGGCAGCAGUGGGGAAUAUUGGACAAUGGGCGCAAGCCUGAUCCAGCCAUACCGCGUGGGUGAAGAAGGCCUUCGGGUUGUAAAGCCCUUUUGUUGGGGAAGAAAUCCAGCUGGCUAAUACCUGGUUGGGAUGACGGUACCCAAAGAAUAAGCACCGGCUAACUUCGUGCCAGCCGCCGCAGUAA